AAGAGCAUUUAGCAUAACAUUAGCAUAUGCUUUCUUAAAUAUACUUUCCUUAAUAAAACAUAUUCUUACUAAUAGACCAGGGGAUACAUGGUCUUAGUAUCAGAAUAUGAUAUAGAGCUUCAACCCAUCUGACCAGUACCAAAGUUGUCUUCCUAACAUAGUCUGCUGCUCAAGAUACUUAUUAGAAAACCUUCAAAUUAUCCUGAAAAUCUAUGAAUUCGGCCUGAGAUUUAAAGAGAG